GAAAGAAAGAAAGGGAGACGAAGGGGAUUUUGGUGCCUAGUUCUCUAGUUUUCCGCUUUGCUCACUUCAGAUUGGGACCUCCUGAACAAUUGGGACUCAAAGGGGAGGAACACUUCUACAAACAGAGGAUGAUGUCUCAAACAUGUCUGGCGAUUAUAGGGGAUGGAGAAAGCAUGAUUUUUGGAGUCACCAUCUAGGAUUCAGGGCCUCGAACCCUAUGGUGGAGCCCAAUUCCAAUCAAGGGAUCGACAAGUAGGGGGUUAAAUUCUUAUGAAAGGACGGAACCUCCGAAUUUGACUUCAAAUUUUUAUGUUCUAGAGAUAGGGGUCCAUGUCAAGUUACGAGUGUGGGAAGGCGUUAGGCACCCACCUCACCCAAAAUUUUCGAUCUUUCUACUAGAUGCUUGGAUUUCAAA